UACGGAGGGUGCAAGCGUUAAUCGGAAUUACUGGGCGUAAAGCGUGCGUAGGCGGUUCGUUAAGUCUGUUGUGAAAGCCCCGGGCUCAACCUGGGAAUGGCAAUGGAUACUGGCGAGCUAGAGUGUGUCAGAGGAUGGUGGAAUUCCCCGGUGUAGCGGUGAAAUGCGUAGAGAUCGGGAGGAACAUCAGUGGCGAAGGCGCCUGCUGGGCUGUUGCUGACGCUGAGGCGCGACAGCGUGGGGAGCAAACAGG
rnacentral:rRNA from 1 species